CCUAAGUUUAACAUUAGUCCAGGACCAGGAGGACCAGUCUAAACACUGUGGGAAAAAUAGCCAAGCAACUUAGCUCACACAAGGUCUCGCAGUUCUAGUUGCCUGACACGUGGUCUGCCCUACCUCUGAGCACCUAUGGUCCUCCUCCUCCAUUUGAACUUACGAGGUCAAGGGUUUGCUCACUGGAUAGAAUGAGAGGAUCUUAAACUUUGGAGCCAGAUAGAACUUACAACCUCCUUCCAGGAAGAGAAGCCUCACUUGAACUCAAACAGAGAAGUACACCUGUACCUGCAGUCGUCCCAGUCAGCUCAGGUUCAGUCAUCCUGGCCAGGCAGCAGCAUCACUCACCUGACGGAAACAGUGAAGUCUAGUGGGACCUCAUGGUAUUGCACGCCAAAGGUUUACCAUGAAGAGGUUAAAAUGUGCCAUAUUGUACAAAAGAAUUUUAGUUCAGAGUUUAAAUUGUGCCACUUCUGGAGCAUAUCUUCCAUUAAACUUUCAUUCAGU